rnacentral:rRNA from 1 species
UGGGGAAUCUUGCGCAAUGGGCGAAAGCCUGACGCAGCGACGCCGCGUGCGGGAAGAAGGCCUUCGGGUUGUAAACCGCUUUCAGGAGGGACGAGGCCACUCGGGUUAAUAGCCCAGAGGGUGACGGUACCUCCAGAAGAAGCCCCGGCUAACUACGUGCCAGCAGCCGCGGUAAUACGUAGGGGGCUAGCGUUGUCCGGAUUUAUUGGGCGUAAAGAGCGCGUAGGCGGCCGAGUAAGUCCGACGUGAAAUCUGGAGGCUCAACCUCCAGCGGUCGUUGGAAACUACUCGGCUAGAGUCCGGAAGAGGAGAGUGGAAUUCCUGGUGUAGCGGUGAAAUGCGGCAGAUAUCAGGAAGAACACCGAUGGCGAAAAGCAGCUCUCUGGGACGGUACUGACGCUGAGGCGCGAAGGCGUGGGGAGCGAACAGGAUUAGAUACCCUGGUAGUCCACGCCGUAAAACGAUGGGUGCAGGUGU